GGCAUCGUUCUUGCGAUCAUAAUCAAAUUGUUUUUUGAUUGACAUCUCGUCCAGGACGAGCGUACACAUCCUCUCCACAGGGGUCAUGGUGGCGGCGAUGACUCCCAUUUGGGAGAUGAUUCCCUGUAGGAAGCCAGGCUGUCAGGAAAUAAAAGUUGUGCCCUAAUGAAGUUCCGGCAGCCCUCAGGACACCUCUGGAGCAUCUCCUCCAUAAUUUCAUGGGGACUACGAAAGAACAAGAGGUGGGGAGGCAAUUGGUGGCGGGUUGUCGCAAUCCACCAGUGUGGGGAUGGCAUCUCUGGUGG